GGAAAUGCUAUCAAGGAAAGCAACAGUCCCAAAAUUUUAUUGGGACUGCUAAUUAUUAGCACACCAUUAUCUGCCUUCAAUGUCUUAUACAUGCUGCACAAUACUACAAUACUGUAUUUGAUCAAGGAAAUUAUCAGCACAAACGCUACAGACUAUUCAUCAGGAAAGGCAAAGCUAUAUCCUUCCAAAUCUUAUCAUAUCUAGCAAAAACAAAUGUACUGGAGUUGCAUAGAGUGCAUGGAGUUGUUAUCAAGUUGAUCGCGUACACCCUAAGAUUUAUAAGCACGAAGGAAACUAUGCAAGUUGGACAGUCAGGUUUUGCACUAAAUUAGGACUUGCACUAAAGAAUGGAACAACCUCCAAGCAGAUUAACUGCUGGAUGUACACGUAUGGAAUUCAGGAGCAGGUAUCUGUGUAUCUACAGGACUAAGAUCUGGAAGGUAGACUUCACUCUUGAAGACUUCUGAGCUCAAACCAAUGGUGCACCAUUAGUCAUAAACUUGGUUGGCACUGAAAAAACUUGAAAGAACAACACAGAACUAUACCAGGCUGUUGAAAUACCAUUAAAGCGGACAGGAAAUGUGACCCAGGGUGUCACCGCUAAGUCACCAGCUGCUGCGCAGGCUCCCAGCUCAGAGGCAUCACCCCUUGUCAGGCAGCGCGGGGCUCCCCUCACCUCCCACGGCUCGGUGCCUGGAGCUGGGCAGCACAGUGACUCUUAUCCUUGGGUCAAAUCUGCACCGAGACUUGAUGGAAGAGGAGGAAGAAAGCAGAGGUGGCAGCAGUGGCUUUCCUCGCCUCUGUGCUUCUCCCUUCUCUGUCAUCCCCUUCCCCUGCUGACUUCAUACAGCCACUGUCCCCGGAGCAAGCUGCCUUCCUCCCACAGCUAUCAAAUUUUCCCUCCAACUCCCUUCCCUUGCCACGCAAAGUUUCACUGCUUCCUCCAGCCUCACACGCAACCUCCCCUGCCAGAUCCAUGCAGGCCCUCCCAUUCAGGCCCUGUUGCCCAGGGCCCUGCUGAACUGGCAGCCUGCUCCCCUCGUCCUGCAGCACCCAAUAGCCUCUAAAAGCCUCGCACUACUCAGCAGGGGAUGGAUACCUUGCCGGAAUACGGCACAAGGUAACUACUGGUCGAGGUGGUUAUUCCGGACAGUCUGGAAGGUUCUUUGCCUAUCUCACGUAUGGGAGGUCACAACAGAGGAGAUGGCAGUGAGGAGAGGAUAUUGAGGCCAUCUCUGUAACACAGCUAACCCGCUUUCCAUCUUUUGUGACUAAACUGCCAGGAAAUGUAACUGGAAUUAGAGCUCAAAGGUGAUUUACGGUUUUAUAUAAAAUCUCUUUUCUUUAGGCAAAUGAGUGUCAUCCUCUCUUUGUGAAGACCUUUGGAAAUCAACUAUGAUUUAGUAAGAUCACGAUCUUGAAAAUCUAGUCACACGAGAUCAGGAUGCUGCAGAGCUGAAGGCAUGCACGCCUGCGGGCUGACGCCACGCUGGCAUACAGCCGCACGGAGACCGCGCUGAAAUUUGGUAACAGAAACCAAGGGAGAGUCAGGUGUACAGCCGAAUUUUCAUGAAGGUAUGCUGAUAAUUAAAAAAAAAACUGGCUUUAGGCACACCUUGAGACACGCCAUAUGAUGGAGGCUGUGAAGUUUAUGUAUUUUGAUCCAUACGUGUUUUACGUGAUGGGACGCAACCACUUGCUCGUAUCUAAGUGUGCACCAAGCAUGAAAGACAAAUAAACGCGAAGCUUCCCCAUCAGCCUUCCCCUACCCACGCUUUCCAAGCGUAACCGCAGCUCCCUCUAGGGCCUUCCAACAGAGCCUGUAGGGGAAGGGUCAACAGGUCCCCGGUUUGUGAGGGAGGGAGAGACCCCGAAACUUCGCCUGGCGCCUGUGCGGACAGGUGAGCCCCGAAAGGCUUCGCUCAGGCGUGCGGACAGGGAGAGCGAACCGCGGGGCAGUGCCACAGCGCGGCCCUCCGCUGCCCUCCGCUGCCCUCCGCUGCGGCGAGGCGAGGCGAGGGCUGGCCCCCGGCCCCGGCCUCCGCUACGUGCCCCCGGCCCCAGCAGCG
rnacentral:lncRNA from 1 species